rnacentral:rRNA from 1 species
CACGUAGGGUGCGAGCGUUGUCCGGAAUUAUUGGGCGUAAAGAGCUCGUAGGCGGUGUGUCGCGUCGGCCGUGAAAACCUGUAGCUUAACUGUGGGCUUGCGGUCGAUACGGGCAUCACUGGAGUUCGGCAGGGGAGACUGGAAUUCCUGGCGUAGCGGUGAAAUGCGCAGAUAUCAGGAGGAACACCGGUGGCGAAGGCGGGUCUCUGGGCCGAUACUGACGCUGAGGAGCGAAAGCGUGGGGAGCGAACAGG